CCGAACGAUAAGGGGGGGGUUUUUCAAGCCCCCCCGACCGACACCUCUGUGCACUCUGGGAGGGCUCUCGAAAAAAAAAAAAGGGCCCCUCCCUCGUUUUUACGAACGCCUCGCAGUCUCGCGCGUGUGUCAGUGAAAUAAAAAUCAUAACA
rnacentral:misc_RNA from 1 species